GACGAACGCUGGCGGCGUGCUUAACACAUGCAAGUCGAACGGCAAGGCCCUUCGGGGUACUCGAGUGGCGAACGGGGGGGUAACACGUGGGUGAUCUGCCCUGCACUUUGUGAUAAGCCUGGGAAACUGGGUCUAAUCCCGCAUAGGUCCACCCGCUUCCUUGCGUGUGGUGGAAAGCUUUUGCGGUGUGGGAUGGGCCCGCGGCCUAUCAGCUCGCUGGUGGGGUAAUGGCCUGCGAAGGCGACGACGGGUAGCCGGCCUGAGAGGGUGACCGGCCACCAUGCGACUACGAGACGGAGCAGUGGCCUACGGUGGGCAGCAGGCGCAAAUAUUGCCCAACCAGACCACGUCGGAGGCAGCGGCGUCGCGGUUGGGAAGACGGCCUUCGGGGUGUGAAACGCUGUAAAUAGGGACGCAGCGCAAGUGACGGUACCUAAAGAAGAAGCACCGGCUAACUACGUG
rnacentral:rRNA from 1 species